rnacentral:tRNA from 1 species
GUCGGUUUGUCCGAGUGGUUAAGGAGACAGAUUAGAAAUCUGUUGGGCUUUGCCCGCACAGGUUCAAAUCCUGUAGCCGACG